rnacentral:lncRNA from 1 species
UCCUGCACUCGCUCAUAGCGGUCACGUCCGGGGCGCUGAUGAUGUUCUACAUGAAGGAGGUCUACACGUUCGGCCACGGAGUCCAGGCCGCCACCAAGCUCUUGGGAUCCACGCCGCACGACCAGCUCCUCAUCAAGACCUCCGAUUCCUUCUCCGGCCUUCUCCUCAUCGCCAUUGGCUUCCUCCUCUUCAUGGUCUGCUUCGUCAGGGAUCACGAUUUUCAGCUCUUCUUCGCCAAGGGCUGCACGCUUCUCCACCUCUUCAUGGCCAUGUGGAGGAUCUACUUCGAACGCAAGGUUGAGGAUCUAGCCUGGGAUUGGCUCCGCCAGACUGUCGGUGACCUUCUCUUGGCCCUCUCCUGGGUCUUCUUUCUCGUUUACUCUUGGAGGGAGAAGUACGAUUAGUUUCCCUCUUUCUUUUUCCUUUUUCCUUUUCCUUUUCUUAAUUUAUAAUAUUUUCACCUCUGGAUUUACCUUGUAAAGAAUCGGAUCUCACUUUGUUUUUAUCAAAUCUGUGUUGAGAGACACCUUCUCAAUUGCCUUCCUUCCUUCCUUCCUUUCCCUGCUUCGGCAUUAAUAGCACGUCAGUAAGUUUUUUAACUGCAGUUGACCAAUGUCUAAUUAAUCUUCUGAUAAUCAAAACAAACUUCUUCUGAUUCUUGUAGACUUUAGAUAGUUUCCCCUGUAAUUUUGAGGUGAAUUUGAUGGAGUAGUGUGUCGAGUUUGAGAGGUGUGCAUGUUUUGAUGGGCAAGGUAAGAUGUUGUGUUUGUGGGUUUGGGUGAAUAACAAUUGGAUGCUUUAUUUGUUUAUAAAGAAUAUGAAAUCAGAAACUAAUGGUGUAUCUGUUAAAUUGGUGCAUUUUUAUCCUGAGAAUUGUAAUUUCAUUUCAAUUAUUGGAGUUUGUAAACUCUGGAUUUAACUGAUGCUGCCUGGUAAAGAGGAAUUGAUGGGUAGAACUGGAUGAAGCCAUUUGGGUAUUUAUAUUGAGAAUUUUCAUUGGAGGCAAGUGGUUGAUGAAGUGUUUUGCUUAGUUUAUACCUUCCGCCAACGCAGUGAUUCUGUUUUUUUUUUGUGUGGAUGAAGUAUAAUGGAGUUUAACUUUUUUUGAAGAUAAUCGAACGUUAUUAUUUCUAGUGAUAUUUUAGUUAAAAAUUGCUUCCAGCCAACUAAAAGACAGCCAAGAGUUCAAAAUACAAUUUGAAAAUGCUAGAUCUACAUCAGUUAUCUUGAUUAUAAAAGACAUUUGAUAUACUUGCCCCAUGGAGCAUUUGUAGUGAUCAACAUAGUUAAAGUAGAAAAUAUGUGGCACUUGACAUGAUGCCUUAAAUUGGAUUUGUUGCCAAAGAGGAGUGAAUGUGUUGUGAUUAGGUCUCUCCAUUAUUUUUUAUUUUAUUUUUAAUAUUCAAAUCAAAUCCCAAGACAGCAUUGAGUAGGGUAACGAUUAUUUAAUUGAUUUGUGUCUCUGAUAAUUGUCAGCAUGUAUACUUAUUCUUAAGUUCAUAGUCCUAGAUUGUCAACUUGCAUGUUUACCCAUGAGAUGGAAUGAUCCCACGAUUUUUCACACUCCCUUUUGAGUCCUGUUCACUCUGAAUAUCAUAUUCUGGUGAGAUUUUAUUGAUAUGUCUAGGUAAGCUUGGAAAAUCACAGGAAACAGUGAUCUGUCAUGAGUGGGCAACCGUGACAUUGAUUGAUUAAGCUGGGUAACCUUUGACUAUGACACACAACCUAAUUGAGCAUUUAUUGACCUAAUAUCCAUGUUUUAAACCCUUGAAUGGAGAGUGUAUGGCAGGAUAGUUGCUAUGUCGAAUUUUUUGUAUUUUAUAUGCUGUAACAUUUAAUAAUUAACUACAAUAAUUCAUGGAUAUCUUAACUCUUUGAAUAAAACAUGAGUAAAUACCAAAAAAAGUCAAAUACAAGUUUCCUAGAUAGGAAUCAUCAAUCAUUAUCUUCUAAAUCCAAGUCUUCUAUGCUAUUUUCACUAUUAUUACAUCUAUAGAUUUCAAUUUUGGAAUCUAGAAUCCCAAACAUAGCCCUACAAAAAAUCCUUAAUGUCCCUGUUUAGAUGUUUUUUUCUGAAUCAACACAGCGCUGCAAAGGCCGUUAUUCAGCCCACUAUUUUGGUCUACUAUGGCUGUUACACUAAACUGCUAUGCUAGAGCAGCCCCUGUAGUCCCUGUAGUGGGCAGGGGCCGCUCUGCACUCUAUAGCGGGCUAUAGUAUGAUAUAUAUCAACCCUGUCUAAGAUGAAUGUUCUCUCACAUCCCAACUCUCAGCUUGAAUACUAUUUAUUGUCUUUCAGUGUGUCAUUCUGUCUUUGUUGUCUCUCAAGGCCCA